UUCGAGCGUCAUCAACACCAUCAAGCCUGGCUUGGUAUUGGGCCUUGCCUGUAACACGGCCGGCUUUAAAAUCAGUGGCGGUGCCGCCUGGCUCUAAGCGUAGUAACUUUUCUCGCUAUUGUGCCCGGCGGUUGCUUGCCAACAACCCCUAAUUUAAUAGAUUUGACCUCGGAUCGGGUAGGGAUACCCGCUGAACUUAA
rnacentral:misc_RNA from 1 species